UACGGGGGGGAGCAAGCGUUGUUCGGAUUUACUGGGCGUAAAGGGCGCGUAGGCGGCCAGCACAAGUCAGUUGUGAAAUCUCCGAGCUUAACUCGGAAAGGUCAACUGAUACUGUGCGGCUAGAGUGCAGAAGGGGCAACUGGAAUUCUCGGUGUAGCGGUGAAAUGCGUAGAUAUCGAGAGGAACACCGGUGGCGAAGGCGGCCUGCUGGGCAGUAGCUGACACUGAGGCGCGACAGCGUGGGGAGCAAACAGG
rnacentral:rRNA from 1 species